rnacentral:rRNA from 1 species
CCCUUAGAUGUUCUGGGCCGCACGCGUGCUACACUGAGUGGAUCAGCGGGUCAGGUUGCGCGAAAGUGUUUCCUAAUCUUUAAAUCCGCUCGUGAUGGGGAUUGACGGUUGCAAUUUUCCGUCAUGAACGAGGAAUACCUUGUAAGCGCGGGUCAUCAUCCCGCGCUGAAUACGUCCCUGCCCUUUGUACACACCGCCCGUCGCUCCUACCGAUUGAGUGGUCCGGUGAGGCUUUGGGAUCUGGGCGGAAAGAGCGUUUCGCUGUUUCUGCCCGGAAAACUCAGUCGAACCUUAUCAUUUAGAAGAAGGAGAAGUCGUAACA